GAUGAAGAACGCAGCGAAAUGCGAUACGUAAUGUGAAUUGCAGAAUUCAGUGAAUCAUCGAGUCUUUGAACGCACAUUGCGCCCCCUGGUAUUCCGGGGGGCAUGCCUGUCCGGGCGUCAUUGCUGCCCUCAAGCACGGCUUGUGUGUUGGGCCUCCGUCCUCCUCCCGGGGGACGGGCCCGAAAGGCAGCGGCGGCACCGCGUCCGGUCCUCGAGCGUAUGGGGCUUCGUCACCCGCUCUUGUAGGCCCGGCCGGCGCUUGCCGACACAUCAAUCUUUUUUCCAGGUUGACCUCGGACCAGGUAGGGAUACCCGCUGAACUUAAGCAUAUCAAUAAGCGGAGGA
rnacentral:misc_RNA from 1 species